UACGGAGGGAGCUAGCGUUGUUCGGAAUUACUGGGCGUAAAGCGCACGCAGGCGGUCUGCUAAGUUUGGAGUGACAGUUGGUGGCUUAACUGCCAAAGUGCUUCGAAAACUGACAGACUUGAGGGCUUCAGAGGGACACGGAAUUCCGGGUGGAGUGGUGAAAUGCGUAGAGAUCCGGAGGAACACCAAAGGCGAAGGCAGUGUCCUGGGGAGUACCUGACGCUCAGGUGCGAAAGCCAGGGGAGCGAACGGG
rnacentral:rRNA from 1 species